CAUGCACAGGUGGGGUCCCUCGGCCUGGCUUGUGCCCUCUCGCAAUCCAGGACCCCUCAGGGAAUGUCAGAGAGCCAGUUUCGGCUCGAUCCUGCAGGCCAGGCUGAGGGACCCCACCAGUGCACA
rfam:Myotis brandtii contig229746, whole genome shotgun sequence.